GCGGGAUUCGAACUGGCUUCCCAGUCCCUUCUGCUCCGUAAGCGCAACUGGGCGCCAAGGCAGCGGGAGCUCCCCCUUCCCUGGGACGCCAUCCACAUCCACAUCCGGCUGAGGGUCUCGAGAACUGCGCCCGCCCCGCCCCUGCGACCGCCGACCCCGCCUCCCCGCCUCCCCGCCUCCCCGCCUCCCCGGCCCGCGCCGGGCUCUGGGUGUUCUGGUCCUGGGCUCCCAGCCGGCUGUCCGCUUGGCGAACUCCUACUCACCCUUUAAUGCCCACUCAGACUCCGCCUCCUGGGGAAGCUGGUCCCGUCCUUCACUCCUUACCCUAUGAAGUGACUCCAGAGUCCAUCUCCAUCGUCUUCAAGCCUCUCCCACUCCCACCUGGGGGUACGCCAAGCUGCCCUAGGGCCCCAUCGGGGAGCAGCUUUCCUCCACACGUCCUUGGCCUCUCCAAGACCGUCCUUUUGGUCUGAAGUGGCCUGGCCCUGGCCACGCACCGCGUACAGCACCUCGUGCAGUUGACCCACACACUGCCCAGAAAACCCCCUGUUCAAAUCGUGGGUGCCUGGUUCCCGUUCUCCCUUGGCUACCUCCAAGCGUCUGUCUUCCCAUACCUGCUCUUGGGGAACUCCGAUGAGCUGAGGUUGGGGUAGUGGCUCUGGGCCUCCUGGAUCUCGGUAGAGACCCCUGUACCACCCCCAGGUCUCCACCUUCCUCUCCCUCUCCAAGUCGGCCUCGGGAACAGACAGAUGAGGAAACCAGGGUGCCUGAUGUACAGCAACAGGCAGGGUCAGCUGGUGAGCAGUUGGUGAAACGGAAGUGAGCUCAGGCUCCAGAAACGAUGUUCAGAAAGGACAGGGGUGUUGAGCAGACGUCAGUGGUGCCGAACAGAGUAAUGGGCCUUCAAGGGCUCCCUCACCAACAGGAAGUUCCCUAUCAA